rnacentral:rRNA from 1 species
GGUUAAGCGACUAAGCGUACACGGUGGAUGCCCUGGCAGUCAGAGGCGAUGAAGGACGUGCUAAUCUGCGAAAAGCGUCGGUAAGGUGAUAUGAACCGUUAUAACCGGCGAUGUCCGAAUGGGGAAACCCAGUGCAAUUCGUUGCACUAUCGUUAACUGAAUACAUAGGUUAACGAGGCGAACCGGGGGAACUGAAACAUCUAAGUACCCCGAGGAAAAGAAAUCAACCGAGAUUCCCCCAGUAGCGGCGAGCGAACGGGGAGCAGCCCAGAGUCUGAAUCAGCUUGUGUGUUAGUGGAACGGUCUGGAAAGUCCGACGGUACAGGGUGAUAGUCCCGUACACCAAAAUGCACAGGCUGUGAACUCGAAGAGUAGGGCGGGACACGUGGUAUCCUGUCUGAAUAUGGGGGGACCAUCCUCCAAGGCUAAAUACUCCUGACUGACCGAUAGUGAACCAGUACCGUGAGGGAAAGGCGAAAAGAACCCCGGCGAGGGGAGUGAAAAAGAACCUGAAACCGUGUACGUACAAGCAGUGGGAGCACCUUCGGGUGUGACUGCGUACCUUUUGUAUAAUGGGUCAGCGACUUAUAUUCUGUAGCAAGGUUAACCGUAUAGGGGAGCCGCAGGGAAACCGAGUCUUAACUGGGCGUUAAGUUGCAGGGUAUAGACCCGAAACCCGGUGAUCUAGCCAUGGGCAGGUUGAAGGUUGGGUAACACUAACUGGAGGACCGAACCGACUAAUGUUGAAAAAUUAGCGGAUGACUUGUGGCUGGGGGUGAAAGGCCAAUCAAACCGGGAGAUAGCUGGUUCUCCCCGAAAGCUAUUUAGGUAGCGCCUCGUGAACUCAUCUUCGGGGGUAGAGCACUGUUUCGGCUAGGGGGUCAUCCCGACUUACCAACCCGAUGCAAACUACGAAUACCGAAGAAUGUUAUCACGGGAGACACACGGCGGGUGCUAACGUCCGUCGUGAAGAGGGAAACAACCCAGACCGCCAGCUAAGGUCCCAAAGUCAUGGUUAAGUGGGAAACGAUGUGGGAAGGCACAGACAGCCAGGAUGUUGGCUUAGAAGCAGCCAUCAUUUAAAGAAAGCGUAAUAGCUCACUGGUCGAGUCGGCCUGCGCGGAAGAUGUAACGGGGCUAAACCAUGCACCGAAGCUGCGGCAGCGACACUAUGUGUUGUUGGGUAGGGGAGCGUUCUGUAAGCCUGCGAAGGUGACCUGUGAGGGUUGCUGGAGGUAUCAGAAGUGCGAAUGCUGACAUAAGUAACGAUAAAGCGGGUGAAAAGCCCGCUCGCCGGAAGACCAAGGGUUCCUGUCCAACGUUAAUCGGGGCAGGGUGAGUCGACCCCUAAGGCGAGGCCGAAAGGCGUAGUCGAUGGGAAACAGGUUAAUAUUCCUGUACUUGGUGUUACUGCGAAGGGGGGACGGAGAAGGCUAUGUUAGCCGGGCGACGGUUGUCCCGGUUUAAGCAUGUAGGCUGGUUGUCCAGGCAAAUCCGGAUAAUCAAGGCUGAGGUGUGAUGACGAGGCACUACGGUGCUGAAGUAACAAAUGCCCUGCUUCCAGGAAAAGCCUCUAAGCAUCAGGUAACAUUAAAUCGUACCCCAAACCGACACAGGUGGUCAGGUAGAGAAUACCAAGGCGCUUGAGAGAACUCGGGUGAAGGAACUAGGCAAAAUGGUGCCGUAACUUCGGGAGAAGGCACGCUGGUGUGUAGGUGAAGUCCCUGCGGAUGGAGCUGAGACCAGUCGAAGAUACCAGCUGGCUGCAACUGUUUAUUAAAAACACAGCACUGUGCAAACACGAAAGUGGACGUAUACGGUGUGACGCCUGCCCGGUGCCGGAAGGUUAAUUGAUGGGGUUAUCCGUAAGGAGAAGCUCUUGAUCGAAGCCCCGGUAAACGGCGGCCGUAACUAUAACGGUCCUAAGGUAGCGAAAUUCCUUGUCGGGUAAGUUCCGACCUGCACGAAUGGCGUAAUGAUGGCCAGGCUGUCUCCACCCGAGACUCAGUGAAAUUGAACUCGCUGUGAAGAUGCAGUGUACCCGCGGCAAGACGGAAAGACCCCGUGAACCUUUACUAUAGCUUGACACUGAACAUUGAGCCUUGAUGUGUAGGAUAGGUGGGAGGCUUUGAAGCGUGGACGCCAGUCUGCGUGGAGCCAACCUUGAAAUACCACCCUUUAAUGUUUGAUGUUCUAACGUUGGCCCCUGACCGGGGUUGCGGACAGUGUCUGGUGGGUAGUUUGACUGGGGCGGUCUCCUCCCAAAGCGUAACGGAGGAGCACGAAGGUUAGCUAAUCCUGGUCGGACAUCAGGAGGUUAGUGCAAUGGCAUAAGCUAGCUUGACUGCGAGCGUGACGGCGCGAGCAGGUGCGAAAGCAGGUCAUAGUGAUCCGGUGGUUCUGAAUGGAAGGGCCAUCGCUCAACGGAUAAAAGGUACUCCGGGGAUAACAGGCUGAUACCGCCCAAGAGUUCAUAUCGACGGCGGUGUUUGGCACCUCGAUGUCGGCUCAUCACAUCCUGGGGCUGAAGUAGGUCCCAAGGGUAUGGCUGUUCGCCAUUUAAAGUGGUACGCGAGCUGGGUUUAGAACGUCGUGAGACAGUUCGGUCCCUAUCUGCCGUGGGCGCUGGAGAAUUGAGGGGGGCUGCUCCUAGUACGAGAGGACCGGAGUGGACGCAUCACUGGUGUUCGGGUUGUCAUGCCAAUGGCACUGCCCGGUAGCUAAAUGCGGAAGAGAUAAGUGCUGAAAGCAUCUAAGCACGAAACUUGCCCCGAGAUGAGUUCUCCCUGAGACUUUAAGUCUCCUGAAGGAACGUU